rnacentral:rRNA from 1 species
AUUGAACGCUGGCGGCAGGCUUAACACACGCAAGUCGAGCGGGGGAAGGUAGCUUGCUACCGGACCUAGCGGCGGACAGGUGAGUAAUGCUUAGGAAUCUGCCUAUUAGUGGGGGACAACAUCUCGAAAGGGAUGCUAAUACCGCAUACGUCCUACGGGAGAAAGCAGGGGAUCUUCGGACCUUGCGCCAAUAGAUGAGCCUAAGUCGGAUUAGCUAGUUGGUGGGGUAAAGGCCUACCAAGGCGACGAUCUGUAGCGGGUCUGAGAGGAUGAUCCGCCACACUGGGACUGAGACACGGCCCAGACUCCUACGGGAGGCAGCAGUGGGGAAUAUUGGACAAUGGGGGGAACCCUGAUCCAGCCAUGCCGCGUGUGUGAAGAAGGCCUUAUGGUUGUAAAGCACUUUAAGCGAGGAGGAGGCUACUCUAGUUAAUACCUAGGGAUAGUGGACGUUACUCGCAGAAUAAGCACCGGCUAACUCUGUGCCAGCCGCCGCAGUAA